rnacentral:rRNA from 1 species
UGAACGCUGGCGGCGUGCUUAACACAUGCACGUCGAACGAAGCACUUUAUUUGAUUUCCUUCGGGACUGAUUAUUUUGUGACUGAGUGGCGGACGGGUGAGUAACGCGUGGGUAACCUGCCUUGUACAGGGGGAUAACAGUUGGAAACGGCUGCUAAUACCGCAUAAGCGCACAGCAUCGCAUGAUGCAGUGUGAAAAACUCCGGUGGUAUAAGAUGGACCCGCGUUGGAUUAGCUAGUUGGUGAGGUAACGGCCCACCAAGGCGACGAUCCAUAGCCGACCUGAGAGGGUGACCGGCCACAUUGGGACUGAGACACGGCCCAAACUCCUACGGGAGGCAGCAGUGGGGAAUAUUGCACAAUGGGCGAAAGCCUGAUGCAGCGACGCCGCGUGAGCGAAGAAGUAUUUCGGUAUGUAAAGCUCUAUCAGCAGGGAAGAUAAUGACGGUACCUGACUAAGAAGCACCGGCUAAAUACGUG